rnacentral:tRNA from 1 species
GUUUCUGUGGCGCAAACGGUUAGCGCGUUCGGCUGGUUAAUCGAGAAGUUGGUGGUUCGAGCCCACCCAGGAACG